ACCGACAUAGCUCAAUUAGUAGAGCAACCACCUUUGGUAGUAGGUUAUCGGUGCAAGUCCGAUUGUCGGUG
rnacentral:tRNA from 1 species